rnacentral:rRNA from 1 species
AGAAUCAACGCUGGCGGCGUGCCUAAUACAUGCAAGUCGAACGCCAAAGCCCCGCAAGGGGCAAGUAGCGUGGCAAACGGGUGAGUAACGCGUGGGCGACCUGCCUUCGAGUGGGGGAUAACCUUCCGAAAGGAGGGCUAAUACCGCAUGAUAUGCCGUGUUUGGAUACACGGACAUCAAAGCUGGGGAUCGCAAGACCUGGCGCUUGAAGAGGGGCCUACGUCCGAUUAGCUAGUUGGUGGGGUAACGGCCUACCAAGGCGACGAUCGGUAUCCGG